rnacentral:rRNA from 1 species
UAACGCGUGGGUAACCUGCCUCNUACAGGGGGAUAACAGUUAGAAAUGACUGCUAAUACCGCAUAAGCGCACGGGACUGCAUGGUCCAGUGUGAAAAACCGAGGUGGUAUGAGAUGGACCCGCGUCUGAUUAGCUGGUUGGCGGGGUAACGGCCCACCAAGGCGACGAUCAGUAGCCGACCUGAGAGGGUGGCCGGCCACAUUGGGACUGAGACACGGCCCAAACUCCUACGGGAGGCAGCAGUGGGGAAUAUUGCACAAUGGGGGAAACCCUGAUGCAGCAACGCCGCGUGAGUGAAGAAGUAUUUCGGUAUGUAAAGCUCUAUCAGCAGGGAAGAGAAUGACGGUACCUGACUAAGAAGCCCCGGCUAACUACGUGCCAGCAGCCGCGGUAAUACGUAGGGGGCGAGCGUUAUCCGGAUUUACUGGGUGUAAAGGGAGCGUAGACGGUUCUGCAAGUCUGAAGUGAAAGCCCGUGGCUUAACCGCGGAACGGCUUUGGAAACUGUGGAACUGGAGUGCUGGAGAGGCAAGCGGAAUUCCUAGUGUAGCGGUGAAAUGCGUAGAUAUUAGGAGGAACACCAGUGGCGAAGGCGGCUUGCUGGACAGUAACUGACGUUGAGGCUCGAAAGCGUGGGGAGCAAACAGGAUUAGAUACCCUGGUAGUCCACGCGGUAAACGAUGAAUGCUAGGUGU